rnacentral:rRNA from 1 species
GACGAACGCUGGCGGCGUGCUUAAUACAUGCAAGUCGAACGGAAAGGCCCGGCUUUUGUGGGGUGCUCGAGUGGCGAACGGGUGAGUAAAACGUGAGUAAACUGCCCUUGACUUUGGGAUAACUCCAGGAAAAUGGGGCGAAUACCGGAUAGGAGCUCCUGCUGCAUGGGGGGGGUUGGAGAGUUUCGGCGGUUGGGGAUGGGCUCGCGGCUUAUCAGCUUGUUGGUGGGGUAGUGGCUUACCAAGGCUUUGACGGGUAGCCGGCCUGAGAGGGUGACCGGCGACAUUGGGACUGAGGUAAGGCCCAGACUCCUACGGGAGGCAGCAGUGGGGAAUAUUGCACAAUGAGCGGAAGCCUGAUGCAGCAACGCCGCGUGCGGGAUGACGGCCUUCGGGUUGUAAACCGCUUUCGCCUGUAACGAAGAGUGAGUGACGGUAAUGGGUAAAGAAGCACCGGCUAACUACGUG